rnacentral:rRNA from 1 species
UAAGUGAAGAGUUUGAUCCUGGCUCAGAGUGAACGCUGGCGGCAGGCCUAACACAUGCAAG